rnacentral:tRNA from 1 species
GAGCCGAUAGCUCAGUUGGUAGAGCAUCUGCCUUUUAAGCAGAGGGUCCCGGGUUCGAGCCCCGGUCGGCUCA